rnacentral:tRNA from 1 species
GAGGGUGUAGCUCAGUGGUAGAGCCCAGGCCCGCCUUGCACAAGGUCCUGGGUUCAAUCCCCAGUGCCUCCG